GUCAUGCAUUAUAAGCAAAGGCAGGUUGAGCUGAAAUCCGCAUAGAUAUUUCAGAGUAAAAUGAUACGCGAGCACAUGGCUCUUAGCAAAAAAAAAAAAAAAAGUCACAUGACUUAAGAAGCAGGCUUGUGCUGUUUCAAAGAGAGGACUUCUUUUUUUCUUACCCAAGAGUAGAUGGAGAAGAGUGUUUGUACAAAACAAACAUUCAUAUGAUAUGUAAUAUUUUCAGUGUUCUUAUUCUGUUAACUGAGAAAAGGUCAAGGGUUAAGGGGUUUUUGUGUGUGAAAGGGCCACAAGCCCUUUUGUUAAGAAAGCUUUAGUGAAUGCCUAAUAAGAUUUUGCUUUUCUUUCAAUCUAAACUAUUAUUAUAAGUUUGAUGAGCAUGAAAAUACUUAAUCUCUACCACUCUGAAUGGAUUUUCUUCUUAAGAUUUUUUUUAUUAUUCAGAACGGAGAUAGUUUCAUAAUGUUUACUUGUCCAAAACAUCUUCAGUUUAUUUACUUAUUUUGUCAACCUUGAUGUUCCUAAAAUGGUUUGCAGAAUGGAUACAGCGUUGUUUUAAUUGCUUUAAAUCUACAGUUAAUGGUUUUUCUUUUUAUAAAGAAAAUGUAAAUGUUGUUUUCUCAAGAAUAAGGUAUAUAUUUUUGGACAGCCAUGUGUGAGUGAUAACAGUAUGUUCAUUUAAAAUAUUAACUAUUUUUUACCCUUGUGGUAUCUGACAUAUUUAGAGUACUAGAACACCGUUAGCAAAAUAUUAUUUUAAUUAAGCAUCUAUUUUUUUCUGUGGAGUCACACAACUGGGAAAAUGACUUGGUUACCAAAACCUGUAAGGUCAUGUUUAUAAUACGGAAAUAUUUGUGUUGGAUAAUAUAUAAUAUAUUGGGUAAUAUAGAUUGUAUAUAUUGGAUAAUAUAGAUUCUAUUGAGUAUCUGUAAAGUUUGUACAAAUAUGUACAUUAUUAUUUUGCUGUUAUUUGUUCAUGACAGUGUUUUAUGGAAUGCAUAAUUAUAGAAUUUAAAUUAAAGUGAUUAAUAUUUAGUAAAACACUAUCAUUUCUCAAGAUACAUUAUAAAGUAUUAAAACUGGGAGCUCCAUGGUGUGUGUUUGAAAGUAAGAAUGCUUGGAUGGCAAUACAGUUAGUUGAAUAAUGAUAACACCAUGCUUUUCAAGGAGAGGGGGAGUCUUUUAGUAUAUCAUUUGGAACAGGAGGAAGUAAGAGGACUGGACAAAACAAAUAUAUCCAAACACUUAGGAGAAAUCUAAGUGUAACAUAAAUGUUAACAAUUGUCAUGUUGUCUUUAAAAAAGAAACCAUUGGUGUUCAUCAGAUAAUUUAUGGUAUAUAUAUUAAUUAUUAAGUUCUCCUUAUGAUUUCAGGUUCUGCAGAUUCAACUUAACUUAAUUAGUUUGAGCGAGGUUUUUAUUUUUAAUGAGACUUAAUGAUACUGAUAUACUGUAUUAUACUAAUUAUGGGAUAAUGCUCUAUUCCUUAUGUAACCAAGAAACAAUAAACCUAGAUUUUAUACUGACUGUUACGAGAUACUUCUAAUUUUUCAUCCCCACAAUACAGCACAAAAUAACUAUAUAUUUGCAAACAUAAAAAUAUGCUUACUGUCAGUGAUGCAUGUACCAUGCUUACUGUUCAGCUGAAGCCUUAUACGGUUGUAUUUAUUAGUUCCAAAUAAAGAAUCUUUAGACAAAAGACUGCACGUGAAGCAUAUUGCCUGUAGAUAUUUUUUAAAAACUAAUUUGUAUGCAGCCAAAUGCAAGGUUUAUAUGAUUUGUGUUGUGUUUGCUUUAAGAACAGGGCUUCAUUUUCCUUUUUUUAAAAAAGACAGAACCUGGUGAUGCUAUAAUGUUGAGCAGUGAUUUAGUAUUGUAGUGCAUAUACAUAUAUAACUUUUAGCAAGACUCAAACCAUAAACAUGACCCCCCCCCCAAAAAAAAUUGAUAUACAUUCUUAAAACUUUUGAGUCAUUGGAGGACAUGAGGAUAUUAAUGUGUAUGGGACUUCUUGUGCUGUGUAUACUCUUUCAAUCCAUCCACACUCUUCUGCCAUACUAUAUCCUCCGGAUAUUGAUAUCUUUGAUCCAUGGAGUAGCUUCAUUGUUUAUAUCAAUGUGUUAUGAGGGAAGUUAGAUCAACAGUGUCGUAGAAUGAUCACUAGUGUGGGCGCGGUGGUCUCCAAGCUUCAUAGUAAUGAAGUGUAAUUGGCCAAUUAAUGUGCUCUAGGGUAGGUGAAGAAUGCAGUUUAUUGCAGUGUACAGAUUUAAAAUUUUGUCUCAAAAUAUGUAAUCAUAACACAUAGCCUAGCUACAUAUUACACUUUCAUGGUUUGAUAUUAGGUGGAAUUUGAUGAACAAGGUGACAAAGGGUAAAUUUCAUUCAGAGGACCCGUUUGCACUAAACGGUUAAAGCAGUGUCAUACCACUUUAAGCAGUUAUAGCUUACUCCAAGGAAUCCUGGGAACUGUGGUUUGUUUGUGCUGAGCAAUGUCAGGAGACCCAUAUUCCCCUCACAGGUCUACAAUUCCCUUAGAGGUUUAACAGUCAAUAAAUCUUCCCAGGGAACUCUGUGAAUUGUAGGGGAACAGAGGCCUCCUUACGACUCUCAGCAUCCUUAACAAACUACACUUCCUGGGAUUUUGUGGGGGGAGGUAUGACAGUUUAAAGUGGUAUGAUACUACUUUAAAUGUGUAGUGUAGAUUGGACCAGAAGUCUCAGCUAUCAGAACCUGGCUACGUCUCACACUGCUCACAUCAUUUAAGGGACAUUUAUGGGACAUCUAUCAAUAAGGGGGCUGCAGCACAUCAUCACCUCCCUAACUUGAAUGCUCCUGUUCAAGAUUCCAGCUAGCUAUGCCCACCUUUAGACCAUAGCUGUCAACUUACAGAUUUGAAAAUCAGGGACCAGCAGCCAAAAUAAGGGACCUGCAACCUCACCUGUUCCAGGCACUCCAGUCUUCCUGUCCUCCUGCAGUCUGGUCAAACUCAUGCUGGUAGCUUCGAGAACACUGUCCAACCAACAUUGUAACCAGAGGUUCAACUGAAUAGAAUCUGAAUCGCAUUCACCACAAGGCCUAUAAGGCCUAUGCAGCCUCAACUUAAGAUGGCUCCCCGGCCUGGCUUUGCACUGCAAAGUUUGCAGCAGCAUGUGCAACAAAAUGGUGUCCAGCAUUCAAAAAACCCCUCAGCUUGCAUUAACUAGCCACACACAAGGCAUGCAAGCGCCACCCCCCCAGUCAUUCUUAGACUUCUUAUUGGGUGAGCAACACAGCCAAGCAACACAGUUGGAGCCUCCCUCCUCCCUGGCCGGCAGGGAGGGAGGGAGGGAUAGGAGCUGCUUCCUUUGAAAUUUAAGGGACAUCAUUUAAGGGACAUUUAAGGGACAUCUAUUGAUAAGGGACAGCAGUGGGACAUGGCGCUGGAAUAAGGGACUGUCCCUUCAAAUAAGGGACACUUGACAGCUAUGCUUUAGACUACUAAAAUGCAAAGGGCUCAAGCAGGGCAUUUUACUCUCCUGGCUUGGUCCCCCCUGAUUUUCUCAACAUUUUAUGGUUGCUUAACAUGUUCAGUUCCUAUUUCACAGUUUUAAGGGGAUUUGUUCCUGGAACUUUUUCUUAUUAAAAUAUUUUUGUAGUUCUGGAAACCUUGGGGUGGAAACCUGCUGAUAUUUCCCUCUUGUUUCUUUGACACCCUAAUUUGGAUUCAAUCCUUCUGGCACUCACCCCUUAAGUUUGCUGUUAGAAGAGGGAUGUACCUGGGCUCUCAGUUUCUGGAAACAAUUUGGAAGUGUUAGGGGAUCCCUAGCAACCAUUGGCAUGCUUUCUUUAGUUUUCAGCUCCUCUCAAAAAUGGGAACUAUUAUUAUCUCCAGCCAGCAAUGAGGAAAAGGUUGGAGAGGUACCCUAGAAGAUUACCACAUCAAGAAGAGUCUGAAAGGACUUCUACUUUUAAGAGUUGAAUAUGAACUAACAUUCCAUGAACUGCAGAGUAGUUGUAGAGAGAAACAAGUGAAAGUCUAUAGUUGCCAAAAGUCUAUAGUAGACUUCAGUGAAAGUCUAUAGUAGCCAAAGAGAGAGGAGUUCCUGGCAAGUAUGCCUAAGAUUUCAGCCUUAAUCUUUCAGUUUUUGCAUUUCUUUUUGUAAUGUGAAAACAGUAGCAGCACCUUUCUAGUUUGGCCACAUUGUUUGGAAAAAUGCUUAGGUCUUAAAAGUCCUAUGAGUUCUUCCCUGACAACAGAGCUGCCUGCCCUCAAGCCCGUAAAGCAGUUUUCAUGGCUGAGUAUCCCGCAGCACCACAUUUCUUUCUAGAGAACCCACUUGACCUAGUUUCUAUCACUAUAUUAUUUACUUUUUUUAUUAAGCAUGCUUAGCAAAAUACAGACCUUGUUGUUAGAACCAAGUCAAAAACAACAAGUAGGCACAUUAAUGGUACAAAGUGUUUAUUUAUUAAAUUGUACUUAGCAUCAUAGAAUCAUAGAUUUGUAGAGUUGAUACCACAGGGUCAUCUAGUUCAACUCUUGGCAAUGCAGGAAUCUCAACUAGAUUAUACAUGAAGAAGAAGAGUUUGGAUUUGAUAUCCCGCCUUUCACUCCCUUUAAGGAGUCUCAAAGCGGCUAACAUUCUCCUUUCCCUUCCUCCCCCACAACAAACACUCUGUGAGGUGAGUGGGGCUGAGAGACUUCAGAGAAGUGUGACUGGCCCAAGGUCACCCAGCAGCUGCAUGUGGAGGAGUGGAGACACGAACCCGGUUCCCCAGAUUUACCACUACACCACACUGAUUGUCAUCCAAGCUUUGCUUAAAAACCUCCAAGGAAGGUGAAUUCACCACCUCUUGUGGAAGUCUGUUCCAUUACUGAAUAGUUCUUACUGUCAGAAAGUUCUUCCUGAUGUUUAGUCAGAAUCUCCUUUCUUGUAAUUUGAAGAUCCUAGCCUGUGGAGCAGGAGGAAACAAGCUUGCUCCAUCCUUCAUAUGACAGCUCUUUAGCUAUUGGAAGAUGACUAUCCUAUCUCCUUUCAGCUUCUCUGCAAGGCAGUCAUGGGGAACUUUGUCAACAGUCUUACUGAACUCAAGAUAUACUAUGUUCACUGCUUUCUCCUGAUCCACAAAAAUAGUAACU